AAUGAAUUAGAAUGACUUGGGAAAGUCAACCAUAGAAGGUGAAAGUCCUGUAUAAGUAAAGUUGUAUUACCUAGCAGUAUCCUGAGUAAGGCGGGACCGGAGAAAUCCCGUCUGAAUCUACCGGCACCAUCCGGUAAGGCUAAAUACUCCUGAGAGACCGAUAGUGAACUAGUACCGUGAGGGAAAGGUGAAAAGUACUCCGAACAGGAGAGUGAAAUAGUACCUGAAACCAUACGCUUACAAGCGGUCGGAGCCCAUUAGUUGGGUGACGGCGUGCCUUUUGCAUAAUGAGCCUACGAGUUAGUGUUGUUGGCAAGGUUAAUACAUUAAGUGUUGAAGCCGAAGCGAAAGCGAGUCUUAACAGGGCGAUCAGUCAGCAGUACUAGACGCGAAACUUGGUGAUCUACCCAUGACCAGGGUGAAGUGUAGGUAACACUACAUGGAGGCCCGAACCAGUUGACGUUGAAAAGUCUUUGGAUGAGUUGUGGGUAGGGGUGAAAGGCCAAUCAAACUCGGAAAUAGCUCGUACUCCCCGAAAUGUAUUUAGGUACAGCCUUGAGUUAUAGAGAUAUAGAGGUAGAGCUACUGAUAGGGCUAGGGGGCUUCACCGCCUACCAAACCCUGACAAACUCCGAAUGCUAUAUCUUGUUCCUCAGGAGUGAGGGCAUGGGUGCUAAGGUCCAUGUCCGAGAGGGAAACAACCCAGAUCAUCAGCUAAGGUCCCUAAAUGUAUAUUAAGUUGUUCAAACGUGGUCCGAUUGCUUAGACAGCUAGGAUGUUGGCUUGGAAGCAGCCAUUCAUUUAAAGAGUGCGUAACAGCUCACUAGUCGAGCGAUUGGGCGUGGAUAAUAAUCGGGCAUAAAAUAUACUACCGAAGCUAUGAACUCGUAAGAGUGGUAGGGGAGCAUUCUAACAGCGCCGAAGGUGAAUCGUAAGGUUUGCUGGAGCGGUUAGAAAAGAAAAUGUAGGCAUAAGUAACGAUAAAGCGGGCGAGAAACCCGCUCACCGAAAGACUAAGGUUUCCUGAUCAACGCUAAUCGGAUCAGGGUUAGUCGGGUCCUAAGGCGAACCCAAACGGGGUAGUCGAUGGAUAACAGGUUAAUAUUCCUGUACUAGCAAUAAUUGCGAUGGGGUGACGGAGUAGU
rnacentral:rRNA from 14 species